rnacentral:rRNA from 1 species
CCUACGGGUGGCAGCAGUGGGGAAUAUUGCACAAUGGGCGAAACCCUGAUGCAGCAACGCCGCGUGAGUGAUGAAGGCCUUCGGGUUGUAAAGCUCUGUCCUCAAGGACGAUAAUGACGGUACCUGAGGAGGAAGCCACGGCUAACUACGUGCCAGCAGCCGCGGUAAUACGUAGGUGGCGAGCGUUGUCCGGAUUUACUGGGCGUAAAGGGAGCGUAGGCGGACUUUUAAGUGAGAUGUGAAAUGCUCGGGCUCAACCUGAGUGCUGCAUUUGAAACUGGAAGACUAGAGUGCAGGAGAGGAGAGUGGAAUUCCUAGUGUAGCGGUGAAAUGCGUAGAUAUUAGGAGGAACACCAGUGGCGAAGGCGACUCUCUGGACUGUAACUGACGCUGAGGCUCGAAAGCGUGGGGAGCAAACAGGAUUAGAUACCCCUGUAGUC